AAUAGAUACCCGGGUAGUCCACGCCGUAAACGUUGGAUACUAGGUGUGGCGGUUAUACCAAUGACUGCCGUGCCGAAGCUAACGCAUUAAGUAUCCCGCCUGGGGAGUACGGCCGCAAGGCUAAAACUCAAAGGAAUUGACGGGUCCCCGCACAAGCGGCGGAGCAUGCGGCUUAAUUCGAUGCAACCCGAAGAACCUUACCUGGGUUUGACAUCACGGGAAAAGCUGUAGAAAUACAGUGUCCGUAAGGGCCCGUGACAGGUGGUGCAUGGCUGUCGUCAGCUCGUGUCGUGAGAUGUUGGGUUAAGUCCCGCAACGAGCGCAACCCUUGUCCUAUGUUGCCAGCAGUUCGGCUGGGGACUCGUAGGAGACUGCCGGGGAUAACUCGGAGGAGGGUGGGGAUGAGGUCAAGUCAUCAUGCCCCUUAUGUCUUGGGCUACACACGUGCUACAUUGGCCGGUACAAAGGGCUGCAAAACCGCGAGGUUGAGCGAAUCCCAAAAAGGCCGGUCCCGGUUCGGAUUGGAGGCUGCAACUCGCUCCAUGAA
rnacentral:rRNA from 1 species